rnacentral:lncRNA from 10 species
AGAAAUUCUAGUUUCCUCUCGGGAUGAAAGGCUUCCUAGCACAAACACCACCCCUGGAGUUCCCGGUACAUCAAUACCAGCCUGGGGAUCACGUUCUCAUCAAGAGUUGGAAGAGGGAAAGCUUGAACCAGCUUAGGAGGACCUCAUCUGGUACUCUUGAUGAAUGAAACAGCAAUCUGAAUGGCUGAAAAAGGAUGGACCCAGCACUCCAGGGAGAAAACUUGGCAUUCUUUGGGAAUCUAACAGGAUGCAGUGAACCCAAGCCUUUUGAAGAGCUCACCAAUCAGACUGCCCUUGUCUAUCCAUGAGCAGAUGUUUGAUAGUAUUGCGGAGGCCCUCUAGUGGGUAUGCUGCCAAGCAACUGGAGUGGCACUUGGGCUCUAAUCCAGUUGUCUAUCCCUUUCACCCUGGCAUUUCAUCAGCCAAACAAAAACCAACUAACUCAGAAAAAAAGGAAAGCCCCUCAAGGGUCCUUUGACCCCGAUAUCUACAUAGAUGCUAUCGGGGUCCCCUGAGGGGUACCAAACGAAUUCAAAGCUCGAAAUCAAAUAGCUGCUGGAUUCAAGUCUGUCCUUUUCUUGUGGUCUACUAUAAAUAAAAAUGUAGACUGGAUAAAUUACAUAUACUAUAACCAACAACGAUUUGUCAGUUACACCAGGGAUGCCAUUAAAGGAAUAGCUGAACAAUUGGGUUUCACCAGCCAAAUGGCCUGGGAAAAUAGAAUAGCUCUUGACAUGAUAUUAGUGGAAGUCCAAUGUUGUACCUGUAUCCCCAAUAAUACAGCCCCUGAUGUAACUAUCACUAAGGGUCUAUAAGGCCUCACCACUCUAGGAAAUGAACUAGCUGAAAAUUCGGGAAUGAAUGAUCCCUUUACAGGUGUAAUGGAAAAAAUGGUUUGGUAGAUGGAAAGGACUAAUGGCCUCUAUUCUCACCUCCCUUGUGAUCAUAAUAGGGGUGCUCAUUCUCUUAGGGUGCUGUAUUAUACCCUGUGUCUGCGGACUAGUU